GAUCAUUACUGUGAUUUAGUACUACACUGCGUGAGCGGAACGAAAACAACAACACCUAAAAUGUGGAAUAUAGCAUAUAGUCGACAAGAGAAAUCUACGAAAAACAAACAAAACUUUCAACAACGGAUCUCUUGGUUCUCGCAUCGAUGAAGAGCGCAGCGAAAUGCGAUACCUAGUGUGAAUUGCAGCCAUCGUGAAUCAUCGAGUUCUUGAACGCACAUUGCGCCCCUCGGCAUUCCGGGGGGCAUGCCUGUUUGAGCGUCGUUUCCAUCUUGCGCGUGCGCAGAGUUGGGGGAGCGGAGCGGACGACGUGUAAAGAGCGUCGGAGCUGCGACUCGCCUGAAAGGGAGCGAAGCUGGCCGAGCGAACUAGACUUUUUUUCAGGGACGCUUGGCGGCCGAGAGCGAGUGUUGCGAGACAACAAAAAGCUCGACCUCAAAUCAGGUAGGAAUACCCGCU
rnacentral:misc_RNA from 1 species